rnacentral:rRNA from 1 species
UACGGAGGGUGCAAGCGUUAUCCGGAUUCACUGGGUUUAAAGGGUGCGUAGGCGGACAGGUAAGUCAGUGGUGAAAUCUCUGGGCUUAACUCAGAAACUGCCAUGGAUACUAUUUGUCUUGAAUGUUGUGGAGGUAAGCGGAAUAUGUCAUGUAGCGGUGAAAAUGCUUAGGUAUGACAUAGAACACCAAUUGCGAAGGCAGCUUACUACACAAAUAUUGACGCUGAGGCACGAAAGCGUGGGGAUCAAAACAGG